AAGAAGGCCUUUUGGUUGUAAAGCACUUUAAGCAGGGAGGAGAGGCUAAUGGUUAAUACUCAUUAGAUUAGACGUUACCUGCAGAAUAAGCACCGGCUAACUCUGUGCCAGCAGCCGCGGUAAUACAGAGGGUGCGAGCGUUAAUCGGAAUUACUGGGCGUAAAGCGAGUGUAGGUGGCUCAUUAAGUCACAUGUGAAAUCCCCGGGCUUAACCUGGGAACUGCAUGUGCUACUGGUGGUGCUAGAAUAUGUGAGAGGGAAGUAGAAUUCCAGGUGUAGCGGUGAAAUGCGUAGAGAUCUGGAGGAAUACCGAUGGCGGUCGACGCGGCCG
rnacentral:rRNA from 1 species